UCUUUAUACUCUCUAAACGAGAUAUGAUCGGCUCAGUAACUUCCACUACACUCUUUAAGGUUGCCGAAGAACGACAUCGUCUCAUUUUGAUAGAAAGGAAUGAAUCGUAAUUAUUGAAAACCAAAUAUACUUUUUUAUUUACCAACUUCCUCCUUAAAAGUCGUACAUGGGUGUAAUUGAGACCUUAAAAGACUGGUUAUGUCUACGAUUUGAGCUACCGACCCAUGUUUAGCAGCCAAAUUUAUAAGCUUUUCGAAGACAAUAGUAAGAGUAAAUAGCCAUUGUAAAAGUGCGGUGCAAACAUUUUUAGAGCGCAAGUUUUGCAACUGUACAAAGUAUUUAGUGUGUUUAUAAAACACACAACAAAUUGCUGAAUGUCAAUAACACUAAUAAUAUACUGGCAUCAUCAACUAAAUUCAAAAAAUGUGUUUCCUUUCAAAUACAGUCCUAGAAUUGUUAUUAUGUGCAAUGUUUACCUCGAUUUACGGAACUGGUCAACCCAUUUGUGGUCUCCAAAUGAUAACUCGUAGUACGAUUUGAUAGCACGAUCAAGCAUAAUUCAAGAAGAUGGAAAAUAUAAAUCCACAUUAUCUUGAAUAGAAAGAAACAUAGCAAUAAAGAUCAUUAUCGUUAUGUGCGACCAUCGUUGCUCAUGAAUAAAAAUGGGCUGGCAAAAGAAGACAGAGAUACAGUUUAGACAAUUCAUCCAGCAUCAGAUUUUGGAACCAUAAAAUUAUCAUUAAAUUGAAUAAGAGCCAAAUCAAAAAGGACUUAGCUAUUUACUCUAAUUCAAAAUCCAACCAGCAAUAUCGUACUAUAAU